CUCUCUAUCUUUCUUUCGGUUCUGCCUUUCUCUCUCUUUUUUAUUCUCUCUGCAUAACACAUUGUACAUUCUCAUUUUAAAAUGCAAAUGUUUUAAGUUAUGUGUUAGAAAGGAGAAGCUGGCACACUCUUACAGUAUAUUUGCGGAGAUACAGAAGGUGUGGCAGUAGUCCUGACUGAUGUCUUGACGAAAAACUGCAAAGGAAGUUAGUUUAUUAUUUGAUAAAGUGGGAAUUAAAUCUUAGUCAGCUCGAAAUAUCAGGACUGAGACAAUGAGAAUGUCACUCAAAGUAAUUUACUUAAUGACAGCUAGUGUGAGUUUACUGUCUGUGACAGGAAACAAGGGAGGACCUGACAACAUAAACUAAUGGAUUGCCCCUGUGGUCGCUGCGUCAGUGUGUCUGGUAUUGAUACUGAUACUUGUGAUUGUUGUUGUACUGUGCAGACACAACCUCCCCUGGACACAAGCUUGUUCUGCUGCAGGGGGAUCAUUAGAGCGGAGGAUGAACGCUGCUGAACAUACCACAGAGGUGUGUGUGUGUGUGUGUGUGUGUGUGUGU